ACAUGCCUACAACAUAGUGUUAAUGCAUUGGAUCCCAUUAUAACUCUGCAGUUAAGCACGCUCGAGCUAGAGUAGUACUGGGAUGGGUGACCACCCGAGAAUUCCUAGUGUUUUACAUGGC
rnacentral:rRNA from 1 species